CCUACGGGAGGCAGCAGUGGGGAAUUUUGGACAAUGGGCGCAAGCCUGAUCCAGCAAUGCCGCGUGAGUGAAGAAGGCCUUCGGGUUGUAAAGCUCUUUUGUCAGGGAAGAAACGGUGGUUCCUAAUACGGACUACUAAUGACGGUACCUGAAGAAUAAGCACCGGCUAACUACGUGCCAGCAGCCGCGGUAAUACGUAGGGUGCAAGCGUUAAUCGGAAUUACUGGGCGUAAAGCGUGCGCAGGCGGUUAUAUAAGUCAGAUGUGAAAUCCCCGGGCUCAACCUGGGAACUGCAUUUGAGACUGUAUGGCUAGAGUGUGUCAGAGGGGGGUAGAAUUCCACGUGUAGCAGUGAAAUGCGUAGAUAUGUGGAGGAAUACCGAUGGCGAAGGCAGCCCCCUGGGAUAACACUGACGCUCAUGCACGAAAGCGUGGGGAGCAAACAGGAUUAGAUACCCUGGUAGUCCACGCCCUAAACGAUGUCUACUAGUUGUCGGGACUUAAUUGUCUUGGUAACGCAGCUACGCGUGAGUAGACCGCCGUCGGGAGGUACGGUCGCGAGAAGUUAAACGUAACAAGUAGAAGUUAGUACGGCGUGAGACGUAGACCGACGGACGACGACGAGGGGAGGAGGG
rnacentral:rRNA from 1 species